GGAAAGCUUUGAUCCGCAACUCCAGUUCUUGCCACUCGGCCGCAGCUUCGUUGUACUUCGGAGCCUUCUCGUCAUACCAUGCUCCGAUAACAGCGUCUGUUUCUUUUAGCAUACCAAAGAAGAUGACGAUGCCAAGUACAAUUCCAAUCAAAUACAUGGUCUGUGGAAUGUUGACCGUGACAUAUUUCUUAACAACAGGCUCCAUUACUUCACUACCUGCAAGAGCAGUAAGCAAUGAUAUCCCACCAGACACUGCUGCUCCAGCACAUCUGAUAUAGAAACCUUUGUCCUCAUAUUUACUCGAUGAGACGUAACACAUAGGAGCUGCUCUCAUACAUCUCACCUCAAUGUCUCUGAGGUUCAUAAAACUUCUCUCUAUAGCAGUGUUCUCAUCUUUAGCUGGACUGUUGUAAGAAUCAUCACUCAUAGUAUGCUUUUUCA